rnacentral:rRNA from 1 species
GAAUAUUGAGCAAUGGGGGCAACCCUGACUCAGCAACGCCGCGAGGAUGACGAAGGCCUUCGGGUUGUAAAAUCCUUUUUUCGGGGAAGAUAAUGACGGUACCUGAAGAAUAAGUCCCGGCUACCUACGUGCCAGCAGCCGCGGUAAAACGUAGGGGACAAGCGUUAUCCGGAUUUAUUGGGCGUAAAGCGCACGUAGGCGGCCUGGUAAGAUGGACGUGAAAGCUCCCGGCUUAACUGGGAGAGGUCGUACAAGACUGCCAGGCUAGAGGCUGGAAGAGGAGCGUGGAAUUCCCGGUGUAGUGGUGGAAUGCGUAGAUAUCGGGAGGAACACCAGUGGCGAAAGCGGCGCUCUGGUUCAGCACUGACGCUCAUGUGCGAAAGCGUGGGGAGCGAACGGG